rnacentral:rRNA from 1 species
AGUCGGGAAUUUUGGGCAAUGGGGGAAACCCUGACCCAGCAACGCCGCGUGAAGGAUGAAGUAUUUCGGUAUGUAAACUUCGAAAGAAUGGGAAGAAUAAAUGACGGUACCAUUUAUAAGCUCCGGCUAACUACGUGCCAGCAGCCGCGGUAAUACGUAGGGAGCAAGCGUUGUUCGGAUUUACUGGGCGUAAAGGGCGCGUAGGCGGCGCGGUAAGUCACUUGUGAAAUCUCUGAGCUUAACUCAGAACGGCCAAGUGAUACUGCAGUGCUAGAGUGCAGAAAGGGCAAUCGGAAUUCUUGGUGUAGCGGUGAAAUGCGUAGAUAUCAAGAGGAACACCUGAGGCGAAGGCGGGUUGCUAGGCUGACACUGACGCUGAGUGCGCGAAAGCCAGGGGAGCAAA